rnacentral:rRNA from 1 species
GAGUUUGAUCCUGGCUCAGAUUGAACGCUGGCGGCAUGCCUUACACAUGCAAGUCGAACGGCAGCACGGGAGCUUGCUCCUGGUGGCGAGUGGCGAACGGGUGAGUAAUGCAUCGGAACGUAUCCUGGAGUGGGGGAUAACGUAGCGAAAGUUACGCUAAUACCGCAUAUUCUGUGAGCAGGAAAGCGGGGGACCUUCGGGCCUCGCGCUCUUGGAGCGGCCGAUGUCGGAUUAGCUAGUUGGUGAGGUAAAGGCUCACCAAGGCGACGAUCCGUAGCAGGUCUGAGAGGAUGAUCUGCCACACGUGGAACUGAGACACGGUCCAGACUCCUACGGGAGGCAGCAGUGGGAAUUUUGGACAAUGGGGGCAACCCUGAUCCAGCCAUGCCGCGUGAGUGAAGAAGGCCUGG